GUAGGUGGCAAGCGUUGUCCGGAAUUAUUGGGCGUAAAGCGCGCGCAGGCGGGUUUUUUAAGUCUGAUGUGAAAGCCCACGGGCUCAACCGUGGAGGGUCAUUGGAAACUGGAGAACUUGAGUACAGAAGAGGAAAGCGGAAUUCCACGUGUAGCGGUGAAAUGCGUAGAGAUGUGGAGGAACACCAGUGGCGAAGGCGGCUUUCUGGUCUGUAACUGACGCUGAGGCGCGAAAGCGUGGGGAGCAAACAGGAUUAGAUACCCUGGUAGUCCACGCCGUAAACGAUGAGUGCUAAGUGUUAGGGGGUUUCCGCCCCUUAGUGCUGCAGCUAACGCAUUAAGCACUCCGCCUGGGGAGUACGGCCGCAAAGGCUG
rnacentral:rRNA from 1 species